UAGGGAAUCUUCGGCAAUGGGGGGAACCCUGACCGAGCAACGCCGCGUGAGUGAAGAAGGUUUUCGGAUCGUAAAGCUCUGUUGUUAAGGAAGAACGAGUGUGAGAAUGGAAAGUUCAUACUGUGACGGUACUUAACCAGAAAGGGACGGCUAACUACGUGCCAGCAGCCGCGGUAAUACGUAGGUCCCGAGCGUUGUCCGGAUUUAUUGGGCGUAAAGCGAGCGCAGGCGGUUAGAUAAGUCUGAAGUUAAAGGCAGUGGCUCAACCAUUGUAGGCUUUGGAAACAGUUUAACUUGAGUGCAGAAGGGGAGAGUAGAAUUCCAUGUGUAGCGGUGAAAUGCGUAGAUAUAUGGAGGAACACCGGUGGCGAAAGCGGCUCUCUGGUCUGUAACUGACGCUGAGGCUCGAAAGCGUGGGGAGCGAACAGG
rnacentral:rRNA from 1 species